AUGCCAGCCAGGAUUCUGUGGAGUCUCUGGGGUCCAAAUUGGGCAUUGCUGCUAAAGAAGACAGGGACACAGACAAGGAUAAGGACAAAAAUGGACCUACUAGAAGAAGUGACAGGAACUUGGACAAAAAAGAUGAUAUGGUUGAAGAUUUGGCCAAGGAAAGAGCUGCUGACAAGGAUAAUUAUGAAAAAGGACCCAGGAGAAAGAACGCUGAUGCUGGGGGCAAGGCUCAUCGAACAGGUGGCAAGUGGAAUUUACAAAGCUUCGCAGGGCUGGCGCUUCGGAGUUCCAAGGCUGCAAAUGUGA
rnacentral:rRNA from 1 species